rnacentral:lncRNA from 1 species
UCUUUAACACCCAAUAUUUUUCUCUAAGUUUUUGUCCUUCAUCUAUUUUCCUUUUUUUGUGUGUGUGUCAGAGUUUCAUUACCAUUAAAGUCAAGUUACUUGAUGGAGGAGAAACUCAAUCUCUUCUUAAUUUCAGUUUACUACCAAGUUCUUCGUUUUUGUAGUAAUAGCCAGUAUUUGUCAUAGCAUUUAGUCUAAAAAUGGUUUUAUUCAAACAAAUUGCCUCUGUAAAAGUUGUUUGUCUUUGAAAAUUUACAGGAAAAGACCCCUCACAUCAAUAAUAAGUCUUCAGAUUCUACCAACUACGGGACUUCAGAAUCAUCAGGGAGACAGAAAAUCCCACUGCUAAUCUUGAGAGAUUUCACAGAAAACUGUCCCAUAGUAGAAAUGAAACUAUUAGUAUCCAAGUCUAAUCAAACUAAGAAAUACCCUCUCCCAUGUCCAACAACACAUUUUCACCAGCUACAAUUUACUCCAUUUUUAACCAAUGGAAAAAUGUAAAAUAAAAGUUACACAAUCCUAACCAGUCUGCACUGAGUUGAAAGGCCACGGAACUCCAGAAGGACAUCCUAAGCCCUCCAGUUUGAAUUUCUAUUGAGCAGUCUGUCAAAAGGAUGCAAAUAAGUCAUGUCUCCAUUUACAUACUUGCAAGAUUUAAGACCUGUUGUAGUUAAAUAAGAUAUAAUGUUUGUUAAAGCCAUGUAUUUUAACACAAUUAACAUCACUUACUCCACUACAGAACAAAUAAUUACAUCCCACCUAGCACUAAAGUGUUAUUAAGUGUGCUGCAAAAGCAAAACAGUUAAACAGAGCUCUCAGUCUCAACUAUGCUGAUGCACAAAGUUUUCAGUCUUACACUGGACACUCCAAUAGCUUGCACGUUUCACUUUGUUGCUGCAAUUGGUCCCUGAACUUCAAAGGCUCCACAAUAAUCUGGCAGAAAAGUAACAUAAAAGAACAGAAAAUGAAGAUUCAGAAGCACAAAAUGAGUUAUGGAAUAUAGAUCUUAAUCUUGGACUCAAACAAAUGGACAUUGUGUUGAACAUAUUUAGAAAUGAGACACAAGACUUGUCUUGGAAUC